CUUCGCUCUAUGAACCAUUUUUAUGAUGUGGCACAAAACCAAUUAAAAAGGUAAAUGUCAUUGCAAGAUGUCUGCAAAUCUUGAAUUGACCCAUUUCUUCAAGCACUGCUUCACCUAAUAGCAAUACAUUUUCAGGUUUGUGCAUCAAAACCCAAAAUCUACUGUCCACUACUCCCAAAAGAUUUCUGCAAUAUGCUACACUUCAAACUUUCUUCUCCAGUAUAUGAUUCUCUACACCUUCAACUGUUUUAUGAAGAGGCACACAACCAAUAAAACGAUUUCUACAAUAGCUACAGUUGAAACUUCCUCCUUAUCCAUUAAAUGAUUCUCCACUCUAUGAACUCUUUUGAUGACGCACACAACCGAUAAAAAAGGUAGAAUAUAAUAUCCUUUGUGCCUUUUUAAUCAGAAGUUGAUACUAAUUUGAUUUAAUGUAUUGAUAUAUAUAAUUUUUUUUUUUUUUUUUUUUUUUUUUUUUUUUUUUUUUUUUUUUUUUUUAUUAAGGCAGAAUAUUUUCAAUGUAAACUGUGUAAAGUGUUUGUAAAGAAUAAAAACAUGAAUUAGAAUAUACUUUUGUCCUUGCUGUCAUGAACUUCCAUGUACUGUAUGAAUGUCUUCUGUUUACUGAUCUAUGCUAGAUGUUCGAAGUAGAAGUUUAGUUUUGUUCCCCAUACUUAUUU
rnacentral:lncRNA from 12 species